AGAGUUUGAUCCUGGCUCAGGAUGAAUUCUAGCUACAGGCUUAACACAUGCAAGUCGAGGGGCAGCGGGAAGUCAGCUUGCUGACUUUGCCGGCGACCGGCGCACGGGUGCGUAACGCGUAUCCAAUCUACCCAUAGCUCGGGGAUAGCCUUCUGAAAGGAAGAUUAAUACCCGAUGGUCUUGCGGCAGGGCAUCCUGUUGUAAGUAAAGAUUUAUCGGCGAUGGAUGAGGAUGCGACUGAUUAGAUAGUUGGCGGGGUAACGGCCCACCAAGUCUUCGAUCAGUAGGGGUUCUGAGAGGAAGGUCCCCCACACUGGAACUGAGACACGGUCCAGACUCCUACGGGAGGCAGCAGUGAGGAAUAUUGGUCAAUGGGCGUAAGCCUGAACCAGCCAAGUAGCGUGUAGGACGACUGCCCUAUGGGUUGUAAACUACUUUUGUUCGGGAAUAACUGACGAUACGUGUAUUGUUUUGCAUGUACCUUAUGAAUAAUGACCGGCUAAUUCCGUGCCAGCAGCCGCGGUAAUACGGAAGGUCAGGGCGUUAUCCGGAUUUAUUGGGUUUAAAGGGAGCGUAGGCGGUUGGUUAAGCGUGUUGUGAAAUGUCCCGGCCCAACCGGGGAUGUGCAACGCGAACUGGCUGACUUGAGUGCGUACGAGGUAUGCGGAAUUCGUCGUGUAGCGGUGAAAUGCUUAGAUAUGACGAAGAACUCCGAUUGCGAAGGCAGCAUGCCAGGCCGCUACUGACGCUGAAGCUCGAAGGUGCGGGUAUCGAACAGGAUUAGGUACCCUGGUAGUCCGCACGGUAAACGAUGAAUGCCCGCUGUUUGCGAUAUACUGUGAGCGGCCAAACGAAAAAGCGUUAAGCAUCCCACCUGGGGAGUACGCCGGCAACGGUGAAACUCAAAGGAAUUGACGGGGGCCCGCACAAGCGGAGGAACAUGUGGUUUAAUUCGAUGAUACGCGAGGAACCUUACCCGGGCUUGAAUUGCAGAGGAACAAUCCAGAGAUGGUGCGGCCCUUCGGGGCCUCUGUGAAGGUGCUGCAUGGUUGUCGUCAGCUCGUGCCGUGAGGUGUCGGCUUAAGUGCCAUAACGAGCGCAACCCCUGUUGCCAGUUGCCAUCCUUUAGUUGGGCACUCUGGCGAGACUGCCACCGUAAGGUGUGAGGAAGGUGGGGAUGACGUCAAAUCAGCACGGCCCUUACGUCCGGGGCUACACACGUGUUACAAUGGGUGAUACAGAGAGUCGUGCAUGCGCAAGUAUGUUCCAAUCUUUAAAGUCAUCCUCAGUUCGGACUGGGGUCUGCAACCCGACCCCACGAAGCUGGAUUCGCUAGUAAUCGCGCAUCAGCCAUGGCGCGGUGAAUACGUUCCCGGGCCUUGCACUCACCGCCCG
rnacentral:rRNA from 1 species